UUGUAUCUAGGAAUAGAAAAUGCCCAAUAGCUAAUCAUGUUCUGCUGCAAAAAAAGAAAGCAUAGUCCCUUUUUAAAAAAGCAAGAGACAGAGUGCUUACCCCCAGAAAAGGGAAAAAUCCCCAAACGUUUAUGCUGAGUUAACACUGAGAAUGAAGAGUGGCAGCUUUGCUUCUUCCCUUCACUAUUCGUUUUGGUUUGAAGUACAGAGGAAAGGAUGCAUGAGCCAUGCUGGAGCAGUGUGCCUGCCUGCAUCGUGUGGCAGUAAGCAAUGCAGAGAAUUUUAUAAGGUCUCUGUGAUGUUUGUCUCCUUCCUAGAUGGCACCGAGUCCUCUGAGAUGCGCUACGGAAAUGAUGAGAACGACUUCUGAGGCUGUGAGCGGUGGCUGAUGAGAGAAGCUAAAGAGAGGAACCUCAAAAUUGAACAGAUUGAUAUGGAAUGAAGGGGCAUUUCAUAGCAAAUGCAUGAAGAGGAGACCUUCAUCCUGUGACUACUUCGCUUCCUGACCUCUGGAGGCAGCUGCAGGCUUGAAGCACUAACAGCAACACGGGAGCCUUAGAUUUUUUUUUAUCUUAAGCUUUUACUUUGAACUUCGUAAGUCAGUGUAUGCUAAGGAGGGCAUUUUAAAGGAAGCUGCAGUUGAACCGUACAAAUUCAUCUUCUUACUGGCUGGAAAACAGCUUAUUUUGUAAGUCAGAGACCCAGAAUUCCUUCAGAUUUUCAAGUGAAGUUCCAGUGGAUAUGAUGCCCCUUAAUUAUUGAUGUACAGCUCCAGGCUUUCAUUACAUGGUCUGAUUUACUUUUUCCAUAAAGUAAGAGCUCUUUCACAUCAGAUAACACUGUGCUGUCACUGUUUCCUUCCCUGCACAUUCCUCUUUGGAUUUUCACUUCUCUUUAUGUUAUGCUGAAGUAGAAUCUUAAAAUAAGUUUUACUGUAUUCAUUAUUCACGUCCUUGUUGCUGCUUUGAGGCUCAGAAUGAAAUGCAUUUCUUCUCAAAAGAAAGUAAGGGUUAAGCAGAGUGUGAAGAAAACUGCUGAUUCUUUUUUUCCUGUCCACGCCCAACUUUGCAGAAAUUGGGUCCCUUCUGCUUAAAAUCAAUCAGUCA